rnacentral:rRNA from 1 species
CGGAGGCUACCGCUAUUGGAGUUCGAUUAAGCCAUGCGAGUCGAGAGUCCUCGGGACUCGGCGUACCGCUCAGUAACACGUGGGUAACCUGCCCUAUGCUGGGGAAUAACCUCGGGAAACUGAGAAUAAUGCCCCAUAGCCCACUACGCCUGGAACGGUGAGUGGGUCAAAGCCCCGGCGGCAUAGGAUGGGCCUGCGCCGUAUCAGGUUGUAGGGGGUGUAAAGUACCCUCUAGCCAUCAACGCGUACGGGUGUUGGGAGACAUUGCCCGGAGAUGGAUUCUGAGACACGAAUCCAGACCCUACGGGGUGCAGCAGGCGCGAAAACUUGGCAAUGCGAGCAAUCGUGACCAGGGAACUCCAAGUGCGUAGGGUAAGACCUACGCUUUUCUUGACUCUUCAAAGGUCUUGGAAUAAGGGGUGGGUAAGGACGGUGCCAGCCGCCGCGGUAAUACCGGCGCCUCAAGUGGUAGUCGCUUUUAUUGGGCCUAAAACGUCCGUAGCCGGUCUGGUGCAUUCGUGGGUAAAUCAACCCGCUCAACGGGUUGAAUUCUGCGAGCACGGCCAGACUUGGGACCGGGAGAGGUGUGGGGUACUCUCAGGGUAGGGGUAAAAUCCUGUCAUCCUGAGAGGACCACCUGUUGCGAAGGCACCACACUAGAACGGAUCCGACGGUCAGGGACGAAACCUAGGGGCACGAACCGGAUUAGAUACCCGGGUAGUCCUAGGUGUAAACGCUGUGGACUUGAUGUUGGGGGCGCUCCGAGCGCUCUCAGUGUCGAAGCGAAGGUGAUAAGUCCACUGCCUGGGGAGUACGGUCGCAAGGCUGAAACUUAAAGGAAUUGGCGGGG